GCCGGGGCGGGGAGGCCGGGCGGGCGCGCGGGGCGCACGCGUUAAGUGGCGUCGCACGUGUAAGAGAAAAGUGUCCUUCUCGGAGCGGCCGUUAGCUCCGCUCGGGAGGAGCGCACCCGGGGCGCGCGGCGGCCGAGCGGGGUAAGCGCGGGGCGGCGCCGGGAGGAAGGACGGACCCGGGCAGGCUGCGCCUUCGCGCUCCCGGCCGCUUUGGAUUCCUGGGGGGAGCUUGGGGAAGCUGUGGGAGGGACGUGGUUACCGAUGAGGGUCGGGUAACUUUCUGGAAGACUUUGGAAUAACUGGUGGUAUGCAGAGCGCCCGCUCCCGGCUGAGCAGUGGCUCUUCUUGGCGCGUGGCCGACGGCUGGGUUGCAGGUGUGCCUUCUUGACGGUGUUCUGCCCCUUAAGAGAGGAAGUGGGGCUGCUCCGGACCCGCAGACCGCAGGGGUCUUCAGAUCGAGGAAACCAGAAGCUUUCCCAGCCAGCUUCUUAGACCUCACUGAAUGCAACAAAAGGAGGUACCUAUCUGAAAGUGUUUUGCAGCACCUGGACCUAAAGGACUCUGGAGAGACUGAGCCACCAAAGAAGAGUCACAAGAUGCCACAGCCAGCCGUCCUACCUGCUUCGUCUGAUUUACUAAUUGAAUAAAUGUUUCCUUGGCCCCAUGUUUCUCCACAGGUGCACAAUGGACAUUUGGGGCGGGGCAGUUCUUUA
rnacentral:lncRNA from 1 species